UGCAUCCUCAUCAUACCUACAGUAAACAAAUGAGGUGCUCCAUGAUUACAGUUUGAGAAAAAUAGUUAAAUGUUGUGCCCAACCAGCCUAGCUUAUUCGAUUACAACCAGUCCAUCAGGUUUAGCAACCAGUCCAUCAGGUUUAGCAUCAUGACGUGUUUUUUGGCUGCUAUUCUUAUGUGGCUCAGUAGCUACGAGAUGUUGAAAUAAUGUCUAAUGAUUUCACAGUUAACUGAAAGACUAGGUACUGCUUCUUGCAUUGCUAUUUGACUAAGAUGAUAACCAUCAACCCAAGAGUUAUACAUUCUAGAACGUACCUGGACAGGACGAAAUCAGAUAUCUUCGGUAUCGUCUUGCUGCCAAGACAAGAGAGUAAGAUAUUCUGCAACAUUCAACGCUUCCAUCAGUUCAAAACAUUAUGGUUAGUUUCCAAACAUCACACACAAAUACAUUAAGAAGUGAUUUCAGUCCCUGGACCUCAGGUUUCAAGUCCAGGUGGAUGACAUGGGCUAAUAUAUGUACAGUUCAUGUUGUGAUGGUUGUGAAGGACGUGGGUGGUAGGUAAUAUGAUCAUGGACAACCCAUUUAAGAUUUUUCCG